rnacentral:rRNA from 1 species
UACGUAGGGUGCGAGCGUUGUCCGGAAUUAUUGGGCGUAAAGAGCUUGUAGGCGGUUUGUCGCGUCUGCUGUGAAAAUCCGGGGCUCAACCCCGGACUUGCAGUGGGUACGGGCAGACUAGAGUGUGGUAGGGGAGACUGGAAUUCCUGGUGUAGCGGUGAAAUGCGCAGAUAUCAGGAGGAACACCGGUGGCGAAGGCAGGUCACUGGGCCGCAACUGACGCUGAGGAGCGAAAGCAUGGGGAGCGAACAGG